rnacentral:rRNA from 1 species
UACGGGGGGGGCAAGCGUUGUUCGGAAUUACUGGGCGUAAAGGGCGCGUAGGCGGCCUUCUAAGUCAGACGUGAAAUCCCUCGGCUCAACCGAGGAACUGCGUCUGAUACUGGAAGGCUUGAAUACCGUGGAGGUCAGCGGAAUAUGUCAUGUAGCGGUGAAAUGCUUAGAUAUGACAUAGAACACCAAUUGCGAAGGCAGCUGGCUACACGAAUAUUGACACUGAUGCACGAAAGCGUGGGGAUCAAACAGG